GUCUCAAUAGCUCAGUGGUUAGAGCGCUGGCACGGUAUGCCAGAAGCCCUGGGUUUGAGUCUUGGUGGAGGCU
rnacentral:tRNA from 1 species